rnacentral:rRNA from 1 species
GUGGGGAAUUUUGGACAAUGGGGGCAACCCUGAUCCAGCCAUGCCGCGUGCGGGAAGAAGGCCUUCGGGUUGUAAACCGCUUUUGUCGGGGAAGAAAUCUUCUGAGUUAAUACCUCGGGAGGAUGACGGUACUCGAAGAAUAAGCACCGGCUAACUACGUGCCAGCAGCCGCGGUAAUACGUAGGGUGCAAGCGUUAAUCGGAAUUACUGGGCGUAAAGCGUGCGCAGGCGGUCUUGCAAGACAGAUGUGAAAUCCCCGGGCUCAACCUGGGAACUGCAUUUGUGACUGCAAGGCUGGAGUGCGGCAGAGGGGGAUGGAAUUCCGCGUGUAGCAGUGAAAUGCGUAGAUAUGCGGAGGAACACCGAUGGCGAAGGCAAUCCCCUGGGCCUGCACUGACGCUCAUGCACGAAAGCGUGGGGAGCAAACAGGAUUAGAUACCCUUGUAGUCC